rnacentral:rRNA from 1 species
AUUGAACGCUGGCGGCAGGCCUAACACAUGCAAGUCGAACGGUAACAGGAAGCAGCUUGCUGCUUUGCUGACGAGUGGCGGACGGGUGAGUAAUGUCUGGGAAACUGCCCGAUGGAGGGGGAUAACUACUGGAAACGGUAGCUAAUACCGCAUACCGUCGCAAGACCAAAGAGGGGGACCUUAGGGCCUCUUGCCAUCGGAUGUGCCCCGUUGGGAUUGGCUAGUAGGUGGGGUAACGGCCCACCUAGGCGACGAUCCCUAGCUGGUCUGAGAGGAUGACCAGCCACACGGGAGCUGGGACACGGUCCAGAGUCCUACGGGAGGCAGCAGUGGGGAAUAUUGCACAAUGGGCGCAAGCCUGAUGCAGCCAUGCCGCGUGUAUGAAGAAGGCCUUCGGGUUGUAAAGUACUUUCAGCGGGGAGGAAGGGAGUAAAGUUAAUACCUUGGCUCAUUGACGUUACCCGCAGAAGAAGCACCGGCUAACUCCGUG